GACGAACGCUGGCGGCGUGCUUAACACAUGCAAGUCGAACGGUAAGGCCCUUCGGGGUACACGAGUGCCGAACGGGAGAGUAACACGAGGGUAAUCUUCCCUUCCCCUCGGGAUAAGCCUGGGAAACUGGGUCUAAUACCGAUAAGGACUACAGGACACAUCUCCUUUGGUGGAAAGCUUUUGCGGCGUCGGAUGGGCACGCGGCCUAGCAGCUUGUUGGUGGGGUUAUGGCCUUCCAAGGCGACGACGGGUAGCCGGCCUGGGAGGGUGUCCGGCAACACUGGGGCUGAGAUACGGCCCAGACUACUACGGGAGGCAGUAGGGGGGAAUAUUGCGCAAUAGGCGGAAGACUGGUGCGGCGACGGAGGGUGGGGGAUGGCGUGCGGGAUGUUGUACACCUCGUUCUCCAUCGACGAAGGUCGGGGUGUUCUCGGGCUGACGGUAAGUGGUGAAGAAGCACCGGCCAACUACGUG
rnacentral:rRNA from 1 species